GAUGAACGCUGGCGGCGUGCCUAAUACAUGCAAGUCGAGCGAACGGACGAGAAGCGUGCUUCUCUGAUGUUAGCGGCGGACGGGUGAGUAACACGUGGAUAACCUACCUAUAAGACUGGGAUAACUUCGGGAAACCGGAGCUAAUACCGGAUGAUAUUUUGAACCGCAGGGUUCAAAAGUGAAAGACGGUCUUGCUGUCACUUAUAGAGGGAUCCGCGCUGCAUUAGCUAGUUGGUAAGGUAACGGCUUACCAAGGCAACGAUGCAUAGCCGACCUGAGAGGGUGAUCAGCCACACUGGAACUGAGACACGGUCCAGACUCCUACGGGAGGCAGCAGUAGGGAAUCUUCCGCAAUGGGCGAAAGCCUGACGGAGCAACGCCGCGUGAGUGAUGAAGGUCUUCGGAUCGUAAAACUCUGUUAUUAGGGAAGAACAUAUGUGUAAGUAACUGUGCACAUCUUGACGGUACCUAAUCAGAAAGCCACGGCUAACUACGUG
rnacentral:rRNA from 1 species